rnacentral:rRNA from 1 species
AGAGUUUGAUCCUGGCUCAGAUUGAACGCUGGCGGCAUGCUUUACACAUGCAAGUCGAACGGCAGCACGGGGGCAACCCUGGUGGCGAGUGGCGAACGGGUGAGUAAUAUAUCGGAACAUAUCCGGAAGUGGGGGAUAACGUACCGAAAGGUACGCUAAUACCGCAUAUGCCCUGAGGGGGAAAGGGGGGGAUCGCAAGACCUCUCGCUUUCGGAGUGGCCGAUAUCGGAUUAGCUAGUUGGUGAGGUAAAGGCUCACCAAGGCGACGAUCCGUAGCUGGUCUGAGAGGACGACCAGCCACACUGGAACUGAGACACGGUCCAGACUCCUACGGGAGGCAGCAGUGGGGAAUUUUGGACAAUGGGCGAAAGCCUGAUCCAGCCAUGCCGCGUGAGUGAAGAAGGCCUU